rnacentral:rRNA from 1 species
CCCUUAGAUGUCCUGGGCCGCACGCGUGCUACACUGACGCAUACAGCGAGCACUUUCCAGUUCCGAGAGGCUACUGGUAAUCAUCAAUAUGCGUCGUGAUGGGGAUAGAUCUUUGGAAUUCUGGAUCUUGAACGAGGAAUGCCUAGUAAUCGCAGGUCAUUAGCCUGCGAUGAUUAAGUCCCUGCCCUUUGUACACACCGCCCGUCGCUAUUACCGAUUUCGAGUGGUCAGGUGAAUCUUUCGGACUGUGGGCGCCCUUGAGGUGUUCGCGGAAAGUCAGGUAAAUCUUAUCACUUAGAGGAAGUAAAAGUCGUAACA